UAUAUACUAUAAAGUAUUUAUUAUCACUUUUGUAAUAAAUAUUACAAUUACACUAAUACUUUUGAAACUAUUAAAAUAUAAUUUAUAUAAAAUAACAACGGUUUCAAUCAGGCUUUAACUAUUUUAAAACAAUUUCCACUCUCCAUAUUUCAAAGUUGUAAAAUUAAUGAACUAAUAAUUAAUAUAUAUAACAAUAUAUUUAAUGGUCAAUAAAGUCAAUAGAAUUAAUACUCAGAGUUAAGAUAAGAGAAUAAUUAUAAUAAUAAUAAUAAUAAAAUACAAGCAUAAUAAUUUUUUUAUGUUAACUGCAAUCUAAUAUUAAUAUAAUUAUAUAAUAGAAUGCAUAAAUGUUGUGAUAAAAUGCGAAAAUAUUUGAAUAGGUUUUAGAUGUUACUAAAUAUAAAUAUUUUGAAUAAAUAUGUAAUGUAUAAUAAAGUCAACAAAUAUUACUCUUUAACAAAUCAUUUUUAACUUAAGAUAAAUAUAUCUUAUUAUCAAUAAUUUUAAUAAUAAAUAAAUAUCCAAUUUAUAAAUAUCAUAAGUAAAAAUAAAAAUUAUAUUAUAUUAUAUUGCUAAAAAAUUAUAUAUUUUGGAAUAUUUUGGAAAAUGUACAUAAAUAUUGAAAAGUUUAAUAAGAAUUAUCAUAUCCUUUUACUUUUUUCCUAAAUAUAUUAUUGCUGAAUUUAAUUAUAACAGAGUUUUACAAUAAUAAUAAUAGAGUUAAUAUAAUAUAAUAAUAGAGUUUAAAAAUUGGUACUACUAAAUCUAAAAAUUACCUAAAAAAAUAUGAAUUUCGCCACAAAAUAUUUGUGCAUUAAACAAUUAAAUAACAAUAAACAAAAAAAUUGAUAUGCACAAUAUGUAAUGUAAAAAUAAUAUGAUAUUUUUACAUCAGAUAUUGUAAGUUACUAUAGAACUAAUUUGUCAAAAAUAUAUUUUUCCCAAAAUUAUAAAAAAGAAAAUAUCAUAAUUUUGAACAUUUACUGUAUUAAACUUUGGCAUAAUAAAUAAAUAAGAAUGAUGAAUGGUGUAAAACAAUUUUGUAUUCAAGAAUUAUCCUCAAUUAUAUGUCAACAAUUAUAUAUUAAAUGUAAGCCCUUGCUCCAAAAUUCUAACCCUAGGUUAGAAUAAAAAUUGAGUAUAAUAGGUAAUUAUAAUAAUGAUAAUAUUUAAUAAAAUUUAACGAUAAAUGAAAAUAAAUGUUGGACCACAUAAUAUUUAUCUCUGUAAUCAAAUUUACUGCCAGCAUUUUAACCUUAAAAAUUAUUAACAAUUGUAAAAAAUAGCUACAAAUUACUAAACUAAUUUUAUAUUUAAAAGACAUAAAAAUGUAUG